rnacentral:lncRNA from 1 species
UCCACCCUUCCUCAAAGGGGAUGAAAUCCACAUCCAUCCACUUAUAAAUUUUCUUCCAAACUUGAAUUGAGACAGAGCAAUUAAAAAAUAAAUGAUCUAUGUCUUCUUCUUCUCUAAAGCAAAACACACAACAAAACUCACGUGGAUUAUUGAUAAUUCCUUUUCUUGCCAAAGCCAUACGGGUCGGAAGUCAUGCUAAUAGCAAUCUCCAUCCAAAUAUGUUCACUUUAGACGGUACAUCGUUCAUCCAUAAAUCUUGCAGCGCAUCCACCACAUUACUAUUAAUAGUAAAAAAUGAAUCACGGUUUUGCAAGAAACAAUAUGUUGAUUUUACCGUAAACAUA